UACAGAGGGUGCAAGCGUUAUCCGGAUUUAUUGGGCGUAAAGCGUUUCGUAGGUUACUAAGUAAGUUGUCUUUCAAAGGCCACGGCUCAACCGGGGAAAGGGAGAUAAUACUGCUUGGAUUGAAAUAUGGUGGGGUUUCCGGAACUGAUGGUGUAGUAGUGAAAUACGUUGAUAUCAUCAGGAACUCCAAGGGCGAAGGCAGGAAACUAACCAUUAUUUGACACUGAGGAACGACAGCUAGGGGA
rnacentral:rRNA from 1 species